UACGUAGGGGUGCGAGCGUUUAAUCGGAAUUACUGGGCGUAAAGCGUGCGUAGGCGGUUCGCUGUGUCCGAUGUGAAAGCCCCGGGCUUAACCUGGGAAUGGCAUUGGAAACUGGCGGGCUUGAGUGUGGCAGAGGGGGGGUGGAAUUCCGCGUGUAGCAGUGAAAUGCGUAGAGAUGGCGGAGGAACACCGAUGGCGAAGGCAGCCCCCCUGGGGUUAACACUGACGCUCAGGCACGAAAGCGUGGGGGAGCAAACAGGG
rnacentral:rRNA from 1 species